UCUUUUCAGAACUUCUUGACAUGCCAACCUGUUCCAGCUUGGAAUUGUAGGUCCUCAACCUCCUGCAGCACGGUGUUGGUUUUCAGUGCUAGGAUCAGAUUUUUUUUUUUCCUUUUCAAAUUUCCUGGAGGAGGAGUUGCUUUUCUAGCUCAUGAAGUACCUCAUUCUUCAUGUCAAUGGCGUGGUGCAAACUCUCAGCUCCAGAGCAGGCUGUGGUUCUGAUGGAGUUGUGUAAGAAGGAAUCCUUCCACCUUGUUCAUCUUGGCUCUGACGGCCUCCCGUGCUGAGGCCAGCAUUGCGCAGGUGUUCUGCAGUGGGACUUUGGCCUCUUGCACAGAGUCACUAAGAGUAUCUUUCUGCGGUGUGUACAGUGUCUAUGGGACUUGCCCAGCCUCCUCAUUGCCUGCCUGCCUGCCUGCCUGCCUGCCUCCCUUCCCUCCUUCCUUGUCCAGCAUCUCCAGGAGUUCUGUUUGUCUCUUCCACCUUUUCCCGGCUCUUGCAGUGGCUGGAUGACCUGUGCUUUUGGCCUAUCCUGCUUCUCUGUGACUCUGAAUCACCCUGAACUGCCCUGAGUUUCUCUGGUUGCAGCUUGGGCAGCCAGGAAUGAGCUGGAACAGGCCAGCUGGCCCCACUGGGCGUGGGUGUGGGCAUGCGCUGGACACAGACAGGGCCGGGGCAUGCUGCCGGGCAGCACUAGUGUUGAGUACUCCAGAGAUUUCUGCAUCUGGAAGGGGAGUGGGCUGACCCAGGGGGCACACAGUGAGGAAGUAGAACAUGUGAGUCUGCUCGACUUAGCAGGCUCUGUGGAGUGGAUGUACCCAACUGGGGCACUCAUUGAUAACCUUCAGUCCAACACCUCUCACCUGCCCAAAACCUGUGUGUAUAUAGCCAUUCAGGGCUUCCACCUGGGCCAGUAUUGGGGAAAAAAAACCCUAGAGAACUGAGACUGUUGGUGUGGGACAUCGGUGCUGAGCCUGGCCAGAUGCAGUAGUUCAGUCUAGAGCAGGGUGGUCUGUUUGUGGAGGUAACAUCCCAACAGGAUAUUCAGCAGGAGGACUACAGGCUUCUAGUAUGAGCUGUUGAGUGGACAGAGAGGACUGGACACCCGUGUGCCGUCUGCUCAACACCAGCCUUGCAGUGACAUCGAGGUUGUCCUUGCCAUCUGCACCAGUGACUUAAUCAACCGAGGCUUCAUCCAGGAUGUCACCCAUGUGCCAGAGCAACAAGUGUUGGUCAUCUGCCUGCCAGUGAGUAGGCUCCAUUGGAAGGAGAAAAGAAUCCUCCAGACAGCUCCUGAGGGCAGUGGCCACUGGCAGGAUCACAUCACUAUACUGCUGGGGUGUGGUGUAUAGCCAGGGUAUGGGAAAGUACUUUCCACUGGACAUGUGAACAUUGGGGAGGGCACAGUUUGUAUGUCCUGCAUGGUUUAGUGGCUUUCAAAGGAUGUAUAGGAGUAGAAAGGAGAGGGGCAUAAAACCUUGUCAAGAUCAAUAUGGAGUGACUUGCAAGUGACAUGGUACUUACUGUUCUCCUUCAAAUGUGACAAAGUUUGUGGCCUCAGUUGCUCAGAUCCCAACAGAGGCUGCAGGCCAGUGGCCUGGGCCGAUCCUGGUGCUGUAACUGGGAAGGUUUGUGCUCUUCUAACCCCAUUAGGUUCCAGCCAAGGAUGCCCUCACCCGUCGGUGAGGAAAUGGUAUAAAGUGAAAAUUAAGCUCUCAUAUUUUUGUUGUAAAAAAGGAAUGUCUGUAGGAAACAACAGCAAAGCAGAUAAUCCUCGUUUUCUUCAUGAGGCAGACAUCGGGCACGCUGGGCUGAACCAGCUGGAGCCAAUAAUGAACACAAGCUGGGGUUUGAGGUGCGAUCAACAGUCCUGAAACAGUUUGUUUCUGAAACAGAAGAUGUCCCUGGUCUAGUGCUUUGAAAAGAAUGAGGCCAUUCAGGCAGCCCAGGGCUCCUCUGUGGCCCCCGAGGGCCAGCAUAGGGUAGAUAACAAAGUGAGUUUUCAUCUCAUCCGGUUCAGCCACGUGGACAGCCACCUCUGUGAUGUAAAUAGGUGAAUGCCCUUUCAAGUGACCCAAGGCGCCAGUUCAGAGGACUCUGCUGAGGAUGCCGCCCAUCAAGGUCUGCAGAGAUCCAGUAGAUGGGAGCAGGGAGAGGGUCUUCUUCAUAGCGGCCCUCUGCAAAGCAGUCUAAGUGCUGGGGGAGAAAGCCAGCUGCUUGUCUUCCCUGGGCAGGCCCACAUAGCUGCCUUUAGACUGCAGCUUAGCACUUAGAACCACAGCUGUCACCCCAGGGCUUCUACCCAGCCCAGGCCACCAGGAAACCCAGAGUCACAGCCAUGUCAGUGUGAGCUUCCUAGGUACAGUAUUCCCCCCUACUUGUCAUGAAUUAUCUGUGGCCUCUUGGGCUUAUGUCUGUAUGUUAAGGCUUUGGAUGGGGUUUGUUUAUCCUAAAAGGGAAUAAUGAAACUUUUUUUUCCUCUGCUGUGUGUGUGUGUGUACUAGAGAGAGAGAGAGAGAGAGAGAGAGAGAGACAGAGACACAGAGAGGGAGAGAGGGAGAGACAGACAGACAGACAGAGACAGAAAGACACAAGAGGGAAUCCUCCAUGUGUACAUUGAGGCCACAGGUCAUGAACUCAAAACCAGGGAGGCAGAGGCAAAAAAUCUGAAGUUUAAGGCCAGCCUGUGCUACAAACUAAGACCAAGUUCCAAACCAGGACAGAACAGAAGGAAACCCUUGUCCAUGCCUUAUCAUUGCCACCCGACAAAGCAGUGGUGGGGUUUCUCCCUGUCACGGCCCAUAAUUCUUAGUCCUAGGCACACAUGUGAGUCUGGUGGCAGGGCCUUUCACAUCUCCUGCGGGCCAGGCCCUAGACUCACUACAGGUGCUGCUUGGGCACUUUUUUGUUUUUUAAUCUUAUGUGUAUGGGUGUUUUGCCUGCAUGCAUAUCUAUGCAUGUGUGUGCAUGCUCAUGAUGGCCAGAAGAGGGCAUUGGAUUCUCUGGGAAUGGAGUUGCAAAUGGUUCGGAGCCCGUCUUGUGAGUUCUGGGAAUCAAAUCAGGUUUUCUGGAAGAGCAGCCAGUGUUUUUAAAUGCUGAGCCAUCUCUCCAGCCCUGGCACUGCAACUUUUUAAAACCUAGCCAGGUGGCUGUAAAACACGGAGAAUAUUACUACUGUCGAGUUUCAGAAUCAGAAACUCUCCAGCAGAAUUGACAGGAGAAUCCAGCGAGCCAGCCCACUGCUCCGUUUGGAUGUGAGGGCACUGUCACUGGAAACAGAUGAAUCACACAGAAGGGAAGCAGCCUGCCAGUCAGGUGCUGGUGAAUGACUGACACUGUGGGAGAGGAAGCAGCUUCCUCUCCUCUUCGGUUUCCCGUAUUCUUGUGGACGCACAUUCACAGUAUUGUUUUGACAACUUAGCUUUUUAGAUACCCACACCGCAAAUAUCCAUUUCUUUCCUGACACAAAAUAGAUUGUACUACCCGUCAAAAUUAUUUCCUAGUAUGGAAACUCAAAAUAUUUCCUUUUCUGAUUCUUAGCACUUGGCAAGUCUGUUGAGUGGGUCACUUCGACUCCCAACAGCUUAGAAGCAGCUGAGGACUGCAUUUUUUAUACCUUCCCACACCGAACAUAACAGGUGCACACCCUCGGCCUCCCAUUUAGGUCCGGCUUGUUUGAUGUGGGAGCUAAGUCGGUCUAUACUGGUCUAACACAAAGCGAACACCCCAAGCGGGCCUGGACUAGAGAGGCUACCUGAACUGUGGCGUGCUUAAAGGUGUGCUCGUGUUUCCUGAUUUAACUGGGUCAGUUUGGUUUAUUUUUGCCAUUUGGUCUCAGGGCAGGCAGGGCCUGAUUCAGUGUGCUGGCAGUCCCCAGCUAUUGCAGGAUCUGAGCGACAGGGGCAGGUGUUCAUAAACCCCAGGGGCUAUUAUUUAAUUUUGCCUCCCCCGCCCCCCAGCCUCAUGGUUUAUAGAUGAGCAGCACGGUGCCUGUGUUCUAUUUUUAACUGAACAUGCUCUGUUCUGCUGGAAUCUGUUCUUUAGACACUGCAUUAUGCAAACUGGCUCCAGAGUUUGCCAGGAGCGCUAAACUAAACUGUGACAAUUCCCAGACAUCGUCAUUGAAACCCCCUGCAGUGAAGCCAAUAGCAUGCUUGCUUACUGCAAGAUAGUUCCGGCUGUGUUAACCGUGCUGCCUGGUGGUGUGUUAGCCAACUGUGCUGCCUGGAGAGAAAGCAUGGCUGGCCACUUCAGAGGCAGGCGCCUCAACACUCCACUCUUGACUAAUCCCAGAAUAAAUCCUUUGGGCUUUGGGAAGACAUUAAAAAGGCUCAGGUGAGGGACAUGAAACACAAAACAAGCCAGCAUGAGGCACAAAUGAUGUGCUGCUCGGACAGAGGAUCCUCUGAGUUGGUGUCCUGUAGAGCCAUUCGCUAACUAAAAACAAGUACUUUGCACAGGCUGGUGUGGGGGUCCCAGGGUUUUCCCUUGGUGUGGCCAUGGAGCAGUGACUGUCAAGAAUCCCCAGAGCCAUGGUUCUCCUCCAGUGCGUCUGGGUUGUUUAAGAAACCCCAUGGCAGGGCUGCAGGGAGAGCAAGCAUCUGGCAGCUUCUCUGGUGGUGAGAAAGAGGAAAGAACUUUAGAUGGGAGGUACAGUUCUUGAAGCUGGGUGUGACAGCAUGUGCCUGUAAUCUCAGCUCUCAGGGAGUUGAGGAUUUAAGGCUAGCCCAGGCUACACAGUGAAUCUGAAACUAGCCUGAGCUAUAUAUUAUAAGGCCUUAUCUGAAAAAAAAAAAAAAGUUAAUCUACUUGAACAGGAAUGACCUUUUAAAAGGUAAGUUCCUUGUGAGUCAGGAUGACCGUGUUCACUUUGUCUCUUGCUGUUUCCCCAAAUAGCAGUACCACAGAGAUGGGAGGCACCCAAGAGUCUUUGCCCCAUCAGGUGCUGCAAGAAACCUCUUCACUGAGCAGUUUAUAAACAAGUGUACUCCUCAGAGUCUGGAGGAAGGAGGUCUAAGAUGUAUCGGCCCCAACGCCUCCUAUCUUGUGGAUCGAGUUCCUGUGGAGGAAGCUAACACAGCGGUAAGCAAAUGUGGACUGACAGAGGACACAGGGCCAUUCGAGAAACUGUCAGAAACUGAGAAUCACCUCAGAACACGCUGAGAAGGAGAGCUAAGGAGGUGAGGCCUGGGUUGUGGGAGGUUGGCACCUGACAGCAGUGGUUCCCACUGCUGGGUUCUCUUCUGGUUUUGAUUGUCUACGCUCAGGCUUCAGAGCCCUGGGCAUGAGAAAAAAAAAGGGAGAAUGAAUACGUUAGUAUUCCAUGAAGGCAUAGAAGCAGGUAUGUGGGAAUGGCUGUCGUUCCAUCUUCUGGGUAGUCAUGGCUGUCAGGUGGGAGGCCCAGGGAGAGCCAGUGUCCCGUCAGUCAAAACCAUGGCAGGGUGGCUUACAUUCUAUCUCAGAUAAAUUCUUUUUGUUUGGUAGAGAAGCAUUCUCUCUGCUCUAUUUCAGCUUCGGUUAAAUGGACUACGAGGACCCACGUCAUAGAGGGAAGUCUGUCUCACUGAUUCUGAUUUUUUUCAAAUAAAAUGUUUUCUUUAAGAUACUUGUAUGUGUGUAUGUGCACCAGGAUGUGGGUACCUGCAGAGUCUAGAAUUAGCUGACCCCCUGGAACUGGACGUACAAGUGAUUGUGAGCCACCUGGUGUGGAUGCUGGGGAUCAAACUGGAGUCCUCUGGAAGAGCAGUACAAGCUCUUACAUUUUAAAAAAAAAAACAUAUUUUGUAUGUGCUUGUGUAUGUGUGUGUUCUGCAGGUAUGCCUGUGUAUCACAGACCCCGCAGAGGUCAUGAAAGGGUGUUGGGCCCCCUAUAAGUGGAGUGGUGGAUGGUUAUAAGCCAUCAUAUGGAUACCAGGAGCUGAACCCAGGUCCUCAGCAGGAGCAAAAAUGGUUAAGACUGUUUGUAACCAUUGAGCCAUCUCUCCAGGCCCUGAUUAAAAAGUAAAUGGCAUCCAAAAACAACCUAGAAAACACCUCCUCUCUGGGGUCAAGCUGACAUGGGAGGUUAAUCAUCCUUGGAAGAGAGGGAGCUAGUGAGUCUCUGAGCCUGAGUCACAUGUCCACCUCUCUGCGCAGUGGGGGAUGGGCUGCUCUGCUUGGAAGUUCCUCCACGGCACAGUAGGGAGUGCAGAACUGUCACACAGGUGAUUUGGGAAAUAACAAUUUCUAAAGAAGAGGACGCUCCUCCCAGAGAGGAGCUUUUGUUUGUCUGUGUGAGUUGUCUUGCUUUACCACCAUUUUCUCUCUAGGAAAGGCAGUAGCCAGGAGUGAAAAGAUAGAUACUUUGUUAUUUCUUCUGUUCAUCUCAGUACCUGAGGCCGCACAGCCACCUCUAAGCCCUUUCUCUGAGAGGUCUAUGCUAAUCACUCAGCAUGAUUCAUUUUUGGUGGCUCUGAAACAUUCCCCCCAAGCCCCCUUCCCUCCCAUUCCCUGUCCCACCACCUCUGCAAAGCACACCACACACACAAGACAUCCCUGCCCCAGAAGAGUUUGCAUCGGUUGUACUACUACCGUCUAUAUCCCUUUGUGGAAAUAGAAAGGCACUCCUUCAAGUCACUGAACCGAUCAGUCAAAAUGUGCCAGUCUUGUUUGAACAAGAUGCUGCUGUGUGUGUACCACAAAGCUGCCAUAGUUGUAGUCAGCCACACUGACAGUUUGAGUGAUGCUGGUCCACUGACACUGCAGGCUUGACCCAAGAAGCAGGUAAAAGGAACAUGGCUCGUGCAGUGUACGUGUGAAUGGUGUGUGUGUGUGUGUGUUUGUGUUUGUGUGCUUGCAUGUGAGCACGUGUGUGCACAUCCUUGUUGGGUGGUUUCUGACCAGUAGCUGAAAUUAUUAGUCAUACUCAAACUAGAAUGUUUAGUCCAGGACUCCUCUAGAGGCAAAGCCUCUGGGCAAGACACCUGUAAGGAGGUGGGGCCCCUGCUCUUCUGGGAGAGUUCCUGGUAGACAUGCACAGCUCAGACCAGC
rnacentral:lncRNA from 1 species